rnacentral:lncRNA from 1 species
AUGCAAACCUGCCAUGAGCUAGUUACUUUACUCAGAAAGCUAGCAGUCCUAAAAAAGAAAAUUGACACAGAGCGAGGCAGCAAGGAUGUCAGGAGUAAACGAUCAUCAUUACAUGUACUUCUUUAUUUGAUUAAUAAACAUGGUCUUAUUCAAGAGCCCCUGGGCAAAUGUACAAUAAAAUGUGAACAAGGAGAGGAAGAGAAGGAUAAUAACUUCAAGCACCUUUUAACCCAGCAAGUGUGGUUCUAGAAUGGAAGAAACCCUGGAACAACUCUGAGAACUCAUUCUGCCUCCUGAUGGACAGAAGGAGGAAUACUCGGCAGUCAUUUAGGGCUCAGAAGUCAAGCACCAUCAACAGAAAUGCUCCCAACACAGAGACUGCAGAGAGUGGCCUGCUGAGCUGGGAAAAUGGUUGGUAAGAUCUUUAUUUAGGUAAUGCCAUGUGCAUCUGAAAUGACUAUUAAAAAUGUAGGAUAAAUUUAUAAGCCACGCCUUUCAAAAAUACAGCUUGUAAGACUUCUGGAUCUUGGACAUAACCUGUAGGAAUACUGGAGAGCAAUAUUAAUGAAAGACCCUCAAACUACAGCUGAUAACCAAUAAGGGCUUUGGCAGAAUCGAUAUCUAGAGCCAGAAAAAUCUCCUGUUAGACCUUUGAUCUCCCAGCAACUGGAGGGAUAAAGGUUCAACUCACUUGCAAGUUUCACAAGGGUAAAUUCUAUGUCAGAAAAUUCAAUAGAAAUGAUUCAGGGAUACCCUUGCUAUCACUUCCACUUGGCAGUUAAACUCCUGAUAUUAGCCCAGUCUGAUACCUAUUUCUGUGAAACUUUAUUCAAGGGCAUUAGGUUCCUCCAUGAUAUAUUUGGGCAUUUUUCUAACCCAUCAUAGAGUGGCUUAGGUAUUAUUGGGUGGCAACUUUCUUCCCUAAGUCUGCUAAUCCACGCCUUUAGUGAAAUCAAACAGAAUAUCCUCAUUACCUCCUCAGAAUAGUGAUUACACUUCAGAGAAUUUUCACAUAUAUCAGGUUAUUGGCUUUGAAAGUAUAUUCCAAAGGCCACCUGGGGUAUGAGCAAAUGGAGGUUUAGGGGGUCUCACAUCAGACCUACUGAGUCAGACUCUCUGGGAAUGGGAUCCUAUAAUUUGCAUUUUAACAAGCAUAGCAUGUGAAUCUUAUGCAUAGACAUUUCAGAACCACUGCCUGCAAUCCUCAAUCACUCUUGAAGAGAAGUAAACCAGGGAUCUUGUCUCACUUGUUUUCUCAGCAACAAAUAAGUGUUUAUCGAGAAAAUGAGUGAGUGAAUUAUUAAACAUUAGAAAUCAUUUGAAAUAUGAGGUAAAUAAAA